UACGGGGGGGGGCAAGCGUUGUUCGGAAUUACUGGGCGUAAAGGGCUCGUAGGCGGCCAACUAAGUCGGAUGUGAAAUCCCCCAGGCUCAACUUGGGAACUGCAUCCGAUACUGGAUGGCUUGAAUUCGGGAGAGGGAUGCAGAAUUCCAGGUGUAGCGGUGAAAUGCGUAGAUAUCUGGAGGAAUACCGGUGGCGAAGGCGGCAUCCUGGACCGACAUUGACGCUGAGGAGCGAAAAGCUAGGGGGAGCAAACGGG
rnacentral:rRNA from 1 species